GUCCUCACUUCAGCAGCACAUAUACUAAAAUUGGAAUGAUGCAGAGACAAUUAGCAUGGCCCUGCACAAGGAUGACAUGCAAAUUCAUGAAGCUUUCUGUAUUUUU
rnacentral:snRNA from 1 species